GAUCUGUUCGUCUAAUGGCUGAGGACGCGGGGCUUUCUACCUCGUAAUAUGGGUUCGAAUCCCAUACAGAUCA
rnacentral:tRNA from 2 species